rnacentral:rRNA from 1 species
AUACGUAGGGUGCAAGCGUUAAUCGGAAUUACUGGGCGUAAAGCGUGCGCAGGCGGUUUUUUAAGACAGUGGUGAAAUCCCCGGGCUCAACCUGGGAACUGCCUUUGUGACUGCAAGGCUGGAGUGCGGCAGAGGGGGAUGGAAUUCCGCGUGUAGCAGUGAAAUGCGUAGAUAUGGGGAGGAACACCGAUGGCGAAGGCAAUCCCCGGGGCCUGCACUGACGCUCAUGCACGAAAGCGUGGGGAGCAAACAGGAUUAGAUACCCUGGUAGUCCACGCCCUAAACGAUGUCAACUGGUUGUUGGGGAUUUAGUUACUCUGUGACGAAGCUAACGCGUGAAGUUGACCGCCUGGGGAGUACGGCCGCAAGGUUAAAACUCAAAUGAAUUGACGGGG